AAUGCAACUAGCAAUUCCUCAACCUCAUGAGGAACCUAUGAUAUGUAUCAAUUGUAUAGCUGACAUGAUGCAGAGAAGGCGACAUAGCCUAGAGCUUAUUAAGUUCAGUUGGUUAUAAUGUCAGUGGAUGACUCCUCAGCUGAUUGAUAACAGCAGUGUAUGUUGUCACUCAUGUUGGACCGUGGCCACGGUGUGGCUCUGCACCAAUCAAGGACAAAUAAUAUUUCAAAUGAAGAAGCAACCUCUAGCACUGGUCACUGUUAACGUGGAUUGUCUUUGUUACAAAUACGUUCCAUAGACUGCAUAUUAACACGGAAAGAGAAUCACAUAUUCGAAAAGAAUGUAAUAAUGGAACAGAUUUCACCUCGUCAACUGCGGGGAUCUGACCAAAUAUGUCAUCCUUAAGUGGCAGUGAGCUGAUCGAGCUGCUACACAUGCUGUGGAGCCCCAACAAACACAUGAUGGGACGAGGAUUCAUUUGCCCUGAUAUUGGCCGAAUAACAGUAGGUUGCUGUGCUCAUGUUAUGACAAUUUUGUGGUUUUUGAGCUGGGCAAGGUAUCAGGAACAUGUAUUUCCACCUGCCUAGUUCCUAGACAAUAUUUUAUUGACCCAUGAGUCAGAUUAAAAUAAUAAUAAUAAUAAAAAAAAUGGUGUUUUAUUUUGCUUCUAACCUUUCUAGUCUUAAGCAAAAAAAAAUUUUUUUAAGGACUUGGAUACAAAAUGAUAUUUAUAUUCUGUUUCUUACUGGUAUAGACUAUUUAAUAAAUAACAAAUUACAUGCUGUAAUGUCUGUCCACCUCAGGCCAAAGGUCCCAUACUAAGUGGGCAUAAC